UUUUUCACAAAAGCUUCAAACAAACGGGGUGACUGAUCUCAGAAACGAUUUAAUGCAUUUAAAAAUGGCUACAGCUACCGUCAGCAUGCUUGCUAGGUAGAGUACGGUAACGACUACACGUGGCUAGUGCAGCAUUAGCCAUUUAAUCCAACGAUGAUCAUUAAAUCUAUUAUAAACAUUUAAGGACUUGUGUGUUGUAAAAGAGCCUCACAUGGUGUGUAAAGCAGUUUUUGCGCUAACAGUUCUGCUAGCUCUUUACAAACCUAUGAUGCUAACGUUAAUUGCUAACGUUAACCUGAGCGCUAAGCUUCAAGCUGCUGACGAACUCCGUCAAGACAUGCAGGUAACCUUUUUUUUUUUUUGUAAAUGUGAUCUACUGGAAACAAACGUUAAAGAGGGGACACACUUGUCUUAUUAUCAGCAUCAAUGUCCACGUGAAGAACCUAGUUAUGUUGCCAGUGUCAACCCAACAAAAGGCACUUUCACAAUAUAUAAAAGAAGUGUAUGGAACUGAGGUGCUUCGUCAGGAGCUGCUUCAGUUGUUGGAGGAUGGAGAAGAGGACGCAGCCAUGACUUGUGAGACGGCGUCUGAGUCAGCUGCUACUCACUAGGAGAUCAGAAACAUGGUGUCCUUGCAAAAGUGGAAAGAGGCCAGGCCUUGUCUUAUAGACAAUAUGUUAGCUACUCUGGAUCCACUGUCACACCGUGUGUGUCAGUGUGGCAAACAAGUAGUUGUGAGGUGUCUGGACUGCCUGCCUCUUCCAUUCCUUUGUGCUGAGUGUGAUAUUGCAGUUCACACACGCUUUGUCCUGCACAACAGAGAGGCAGUAACAGGAGGGUUUUUGCAGCCUUCAUCAGAGUUUCACAAGCCAAUAGUUCGGCUGUUGCCUGUGCAAAGGCCAGACCAUGUGUGUGACUGCCCAGCAGGUAACUUUGAGGUUUCACCCGGCGCAGUUGUGGCUCUUGUAACCAUAAAUGGCUGUUAUAACCUUGCACUGCCAGUGGUGAGCUGCACCAGCUGUGACCUAAUGUGGUCCCC